rnacentral:rRNA from 1 species
UACGUAGGGCGCAAGCGUUAUCCGGAAUUAUUGGGCGUAAAGAGCUCGUAGGCGGUUUGUCGCGUCUGCUGUGAAAACCUAAGGCUCAACCUUGGGCUUGCAGUGGGUACGGGCAGACUAGAGUGCGGUAGGGGUGACUGGAAUUCCUGGUGUAGCGGUGGAAUGCGCAGAUAUCAGGAGGAACACCGGUGGCGAAGGCGGCAUCCUGGACCGGCAUUGACGCUGAGGCGCGAAAGCUAGGGGAGCAAACGGG